AAUCCAACCUGGGUCUUCUGGAAGAACAGCCGGUGCUCUUAAUGGUUGAGCCAUCUCUCCAGAUUUCCACUUGGCUGACAGACACCGUCCAGGAAUCAGCCGUGGACUACAAACUGUUCCAGUUGGCUUUGAGCCCUGGGCUUGAUGAAACUGUGGCGUGGACUAGUCCAGCAGAUACAAUUGCUCCCCUCUCUACAGCUGGGUCAGUGAGCCAGAUGCUUCUGAUGAAUGCCCAUUGCCUGAAGCCCCUUCCGGCCUUUGAUUUCAGCGGGAAGUAGUUACAGAAGAGAGUACAUUACACCUGAUCCUCUACAGACGGCUGGAAUAUUAAGUUAAUAGGAAACUCCUUGGCAUAGGAGACAAAAUGGCUACCUAUAAUGCCUUUUGGAGUACAAGGGAAGGUACCUAUUAAAACCAAACAGAUCCAAA